rnacentral:tRNA from 1 species
AUCUAAAUAGCUUAUAUAGAGCAUAAUAUUGAAGAUAUUAAGGAAAUUUAAAUUUUUGGAUA